rnacentral:rRNA from 1 species
UACGGGGGGAGCAAGCGUUGUUCGGAUUUACUGGGCGUAAAGGGCGCGUAGGCGGUCAGCACAAGUCAGUUGUGAAAUCUCCGGGCUUAACUCGGAAAGGUCAACUGAUACUGUGCGACUAGAGUGCGGAAGGGGCAACUGGAAUUCACGGUGUAGCAGUGAAAUGCGUAGAUAUUCGCAAGAACACCAGUGGCGAAGGCGGCUUACUGGUCCGGUUCUGACGCUGAGGCGCGAAAGCGUGGGGAGCAAACAGG